AGGGAGAGGGUGGCAGAAAAAAACAAAAGGAGGAGGAAUUUAGAGAAUACAGAAUCAUGGAAAAUUAGAGAAGAGGUGCUUCAGACGCGAGAGAGAUCACAAGAGACAGCUCAGGGAAAACAACAUCCAGCAGAAGAGUCCACGUUGAGGAGGAUGAUCGGAUGGCCAUGAAAAAGACAAAAAUAAAAGAGAAAAGACAAGGAAUGUCUUCUGCCGGUAAGGGCCAAGCUUCAGAAACCAAUCCAAGUUGGACACUCACAUGCAGAGCUUUCUGUGGCUGUUGGUGUACGCUGGCUCGUGGCAGCAUGUGUGUGUCCGCGAUGGUGAAGCGUUGGCCAAUGAAGACCUCACGGUACUUGACUCUCGAAAUCCAAACACUGUGGUUUCCGGACAUGCCAAAACUUGUGCAAAAUGUUUUGAUGAAUUCUGAGUGAGUACAGUUUCUCCUCUUUACAUUUAUUGCCCAACUUCAAAAAUGCAGUGACAUAAACAAUGUUUUUUAGAUGCAUUCGGGUUGAGUUUAACAGAGUUUUAUAUUUUUUUUAUGCUACAAAUCUGUUUGGCCUGCUGCUAUUUUACAUAAUGGUAAGAGAAUAUAAGUAAUGCUUUAAAAUAUAAUGCAGUCCAAUAGCACAUGAUCAGCUCAAACAUUACCACAUUUAAUGCCACAGUGUCAAAACAAACUGAACAUCUUAAGUUAAAGGUAUAAUUUAUAAAAGGGCUUUUGUAUUGGAUUGCGUAAUAUUGCAUAUGAUAAACCUGUAAUUGUAUU